GGUAGUUUUGGACCUUUGGUAUCUUUCAUUUCAGUUUCGAUGAUUCCAAAUAGGUUCUGCUCAAGAAUAUAAUAUAUGGGGGUGGUUGUUAACAGACAUGCAAAUGUCUAGCUGUUAUUAUGUAUAAAGAAAAUUAGUGAUCGUAUUCGUAUGUCAUUUUUCUUGUCUCAUAAU
rnacentral:sRNA from 1 species